GUGCAGCAGCCGCGGUAAUACCGGCAGCUCGAGUGAUGGCCAUUCUUAUUGGGCCUAAAGCGUCCGUAGCUGGCCGCGCAAGUCCGUCGGGAAAUCCAUCAGCCCAACUGAUGGGCGUCCGGCGGAAACUGCACGGCUUGGGACCGGAAGGCUCGAGAGGUGCGUCCGGGGUAGGAGUGAAAUCCCGGAAUCCCGAACGGACCACCGAUGGCGAAAGCAUCUCGAGAAAACGGAUCCGACAGUGAGGGACGAAAGCUAGGGUCUCGAACCGGAUUAGAAACCCGAGUAUCC
rnacentral:rRNA from 1 species